rnacentral:rRNA from 16 species
GGCGAGAUCACCCGCUGAGUUUAAGCAUAUAAAUAAGCGGAGGA